GGCCGGAUGGUGUAGGUUCGUCUAUCACAUGUUCCUCCAAACAAUGUAUGGGUUGUUAACUGUAUAAUAGUUGGUUAUCACAUCUCCUUAACAUCUCGCAUGUACGGAGAAGGUCUUGAGUUCGAGCCUCAAUCUGGUCG